GUGCACAGGAUUCAAGAGGACAACUUCGACUGUGAAAAUUUCUCUGUACUUCCUUCAUUCGAAACUCAAACUCAGAAGUAGGGGGACUGGUAUUGGGUAUAAAAUACCCCCCCAGCCGAAGUUCAUACCAGGAGUGACCCUCCAGGGGUUCUACCAACGUCCGACCUUCGGCGACAUCUUCCCGAACCUCUCCGGCGGUCGAGCCUCCGUAACGUUCCCAAGUUCUGCCGACGGAUAAACUGCCACCAGUGUGGGCCGGAUUCUCCACGAUGGGCAGACUUUACCCGAGUCCCGGUAGUGGUCGACCACCUUCUGGUCUGCAUCCGGACUCCUACGGGAGCCAGACUUCAUCCCCGACUUCAACUGCAGGUAGACUUCAUCCGGACUCCUACGGGAGCCGGACUUCGUCUCCGACUUCAACUGCAGGUAGACUUCAUCCGGACUCCUACGGGAGUCGGACUUCAUCCCCGACUUCAACUGCAGGUAGACUUCAUCCGGACUCGUACGGGAGUCGGACUUCGUCCCC
rnacentral:lncRNA from 1 species